GGACAGACGGCUUUGGGUGGAUGGAUCAUCACUGGAUCAAAAGUUUGAUUGUUGAGAAAAUAUAUUUUUUUCAUUUCUUGAUUUAAAGUUACCAGUUUUUACUGAAACAAUUCUUUCUGUUUUUCAUUCCUUAGUUUGAAGUUUUGGAAUCGCAACGAGCCAGACAAUUGGAAAGGGACAAAUGGAAAAAGAAAGGAACGAAGAAAGAAAGACGUGUGAAGUGUCACAACAGAAUAAGUGAAGCUCCUGAAUCUCAACAUACAAAAUGAAACAGAGGUCAAAGGUCACCUCUGACAGUGUGGCAUUGCUGGUUCUCUGUUUUCUCCUGAGAGCUGCUUUCAUUGUUCUUUAUUGCCUGUAGGGCAGCCCAGUGGCACUGUGUUAGCCCUGCCACAGACCAACCUGUCCAGAGUGUGUCCUGCCUCUCCAGUCCCGCACGAACCUGAACCAAAUAAGAGGGAGAGGAUGGAUGGUCCUUUGCCUCAUCAGCUGACAUUUCUCUUUCUGUUUAUACACACUAUUGUUUCUACAUAUACUUCACUACUAAAGAUGUUUUGUCAGCAUGUUAAUGCAUUUCUCAUCCG
ensembl:lncRNA